rnacentral:misc_RNA from 1 species
AACGCACCUUGCGCUUCUUGGUAUUCCGAGGAGCAUGCCUGUUUGAGUGUCAUUAAUAUAUCAAUCUUCUCUUGUUUGAGUGGUUUGGAUGUGGGGGGUUUGCUGGCCUCUGAAAAGGGAUUCAGCUCCUCUGAAAAGCAUUAGCAGAGUGACUCUGUUCAUUAGUGUGAUAACUAUCUAUGCUAUUGAAUGGGUGUGGUUCAGCUUUCUAACUGUCCUUGGACAAAUUUAUCAUUUAUGUGACCUCAAAUCAGGUAGGACUACCCGCUGAACUUAA